UACGUAGGGUGCAAGCGUUAAUCGGAAUUACUGGGCGUAAAGCGUGCGCAGGCGGUUUUGUAAGUCAGAUGUGAAAUCCCCGGGCUUAACCUUGGAACUGCAUUUUUAACUGCCGGGCUAGAGUAUGUCAGAGGGGGGUAGAAUUCCACGUGUAGCAGUGAAAUGCGUAGAGAUGUGGAGGAAUACCGAUGGCGAAGGCAGCCCCCUGGGAUAAUACUGACGCUCAUGCACGAAAGCGUGGGGAGCAAACAGG
rnacentral:rRNA from 1 species